rnacentral:tRNA from 1 species
GGGGCUAUGGCUUAGUGGGAGAGUAACCACUUUGCAAGUAGAUGGUCCCAGGUUUGAUCCCUGGCAGCUCCA